GGAGAAUUACUCAAGAGGCUGAAGAGGACGGUUUGCUAAAUCGUUAGGUCGGAUAACUGGCGCGGGGGUUCGAAUCCCCCAUUCUCCG
rnacentral:tRNA from 1 species